AUUGAACGCUGGCGGCAUGCCUUACACAUGCAAGUCGAACGGCAGCGGGGGAGAAGCUUGCUUUUCCUGCCGGCGAGUGGCGAACGGGUGAGUAAUACAUCGGAACGUGCCCUGUAGUGGGGGAUAACUAGUCGAAAGACUAGCUAAUACCGCAUACGACCUGAGGGUGAAAGUGGGGGACCGCAAGGCCUCAUGCUAUAGGAGCGGCCGAUGUCUGAUUAGCUAGUUGGUGGGGUAAAGGCCUACCAAGGCGACGAUCGGUAGCUGGUCUGAGAGGACGAUCAGCCACACUGGGACUGAGACACGGCCCAGACUCCUACGGGAGGCAGCAGUGGGGAAUUUUGGACAAUGGGCGAAAGCCUGAUCCAGCAAUGCCGCGUGUGUGAAGAAGGCCUUCGGGUUGUAAAGCACUUUUGUCCGGAAAGAAAUGGCUCUGGUUAAUACCUGGGGUCGAUGACGGUACCGGAAGAAUAAGGACCGGCUAACUACGUGCCAGCCGCCGCGGUAA
rnacentral:rRNA from 1 species